rnacentral:rRNA from 1 species
ACAAGCGGUGGAGCAUGUGGUUAAUUCGACGCAACGCGAAGAACCUUACCAGGGCUUGACAUCCCCUGACCGCGUAUGAAAGUACGUUUUCACCCUCGGGUGACAGGGAGACAGGUGGUGCAUGGUUGUCGUCAGCUCGUGUCGUGAGAUGUUGGGUUAAGUCCCGCAACGAGCGCAACCCCUACGUUUAGUUGCUAACAGGUGAAGCUGAGCACUCUAGACGAACUGCCGUUGACAAAACGGAGGAAGGUGGGAUGACGUCAAAUCAUCAUGCCCCUUAUGUUCUGGGCUACACACGUGCUACAAUGGCCGGUACAGACGGAGGCGAAGCCGCGAGGCGGAGCAAAUCCGAAAAAGCCGGUCUCAGUUCGGAUUGCAGGCUGCAAUUCGCCUGCAUGAAGUCGGAAUCGCUAGUAAUCGCAGGUCAGCAUACUGCGGUGAAUACGUUCCCGGGCCUU